UUCAAUGGCCAGCCAACCUCACUUUGUUCUAAUCCCACUCAUGGCACAGGGUCACAUGAUCCCUGUAGUAGACAUGGCUAGACUCAUUGCAGCGCAUGGGGUGAUUGUGAGCUUGGUCACUACUCCUCACAAUGCAUCAAGAUUUGAGAAGGUGAUUUAUAGAGCAAGAGAAUCUGCUGGCCUAUCAAUUGAUCUCGUACAAAUCCCAUUUCCCUGCCAAGAAGUCGGACUCCCUAUCGGCUACGAGAAUCUUGACACUCUUCCUUCCAGGGACCUUCUUAAGAAAUUCUAUCUUGCACUUGCUAAGCUACAACAACCUUUAGAAACCUUCCUUGAAAAAGCUACGCCUCCUCCAAGCUGCAUAAUAUCAGACAAGUGCCUUUCUUGGACAUCCAUAACUGCUCAAAGGUUCAACAUUCCGAGGAUUGUUUUCCAUGGAAUGUCCUGUUUCUCUCUGCUGAGUGCUCAUAACGUAAGACUUCACAAUGCUCAUCUUUCAGUCUCUUCGGAUUCGGAACCUUUCGUGGUGCCUGGAAUGCCUCAGAAGUUUCAGGUAACAAGAGCUCAGCUUCCAGGAUCAUUUGUUAGUUUACCAGAUUUGGAUGAUGUCCGAAACAAGAUGCAGGAAGCUGAAUCAACGGCUUUUGGGGUGGUGGUAAAUAGCUUCCAAGAGCUCGAACAUGGUUGCCCCGAGGCGUACGAGAAGGCGAUAAAGAAGAAAGUAUGGUGUAUUGGACCAGUUUCUUUAUGCAACAAAGAGAACCUUGACAAGUUCGAGAGAGGAAACAAAGCUUCAAUUGAUGAGAAACAAUGCUUGGAAUGGCUAGACUCACAGAAACCGAGGUCAGUUAUUUAUGCUUGUCUUGGUAGCUUGUGUCGGCUAGAACCGUCACAAUUGAUAGAACUAGGUUUAGGCUUGGAAGCAUCUAAGCAUCCAUUUAUCUGGGUAGCAAAAACGGGGGAGAAAUCUUCUGAGCUAGAGGCUUGGUUUGUGAAGGAGAAAUUUGAAGAAAGGAUCCAAGGAAGAGGAAUGUUGAUCAAAGGCUGGGCUCCUCAGGUACUUAUCUUGUCUCAUCCAGCAAUUGGAGGGUUCUUAACUCAUUGUGGUUGGAACUCAACAAUCGAAGGGGUCUGCGCUGGAGUGCCAAUGAUAACUUGGCCUCUAUUCUCCGAGCAAUUCUUCAAUGAGAAGCUAAUUGUGGAGAUUUUAAGGAUUGGUGUCCAAGUUGGCGUUGAGGUUCCUGUAAGAUGGGGAGAGGAAGAGACAGUUGGAGUUUUAGUGAAGAAAGAAGAAGUGGAGACGGCUGUGAGUGUAUUGAUGGAUGAAGGAGUAGAAGGGCAAAAGAGAAGGAAGAGAGCAAGUGAACUUGCAGAAGUGGCAAGCAAGGCUAUGGAAUUUGGUGGAUCUUCCAACUUAAAUUUGUCAAUCUUAAUCCAAGAUGUUAUGAAACUUCAAACUGAAGACGUGGGUAGCAAUAAGAAUGAGCUUUAAUUCCGAAGUCACUCUAGAGAAUACGAGAUUUCAAGUUGAAAUUUUAAUCUAAACUUCAUUAUAGACUUUUCAUUAUGUUAUAUAUUUGAGAAAUCAUAUUAAAUGUGAGUUUAUGCAGUGGACUGGCUUUGCAUAGAAGCCAAUAGCUAGAUUAAAACUCUUAAACAAAGCUUUUAUACCUCGGCUUCUGUGCAUUCAACCUCAUCUGCACAGCUGAACUGGCAGUAAGGUUGCGGGUUCUAUGAGUGAAUUUGUUCUUGUGUAUGUUUUGAUCGAUCCUUAAUGGAAUACUAUGUAAUUAUCAAUGGAAUUUUGCAAAUAAUAUGAUCUUCUUGUUUGGAAAAUAUUUAAUGAUAUUAUAUAUGAAAUUAUGAGA
rnacentral:misc_RNA from 1 species